GACGAACGCUGGCGGCGUGCUUAACACAUGCAAGUCGAACGAAGAGCGAUGGAAGCUUGCUUCUAUCAAUCUUAGUGGCGAACGGGUGAGUAACGCGUAAUCAACCUGCCCUUCAGAGGGGGACAACAGUUGGAAACGACUGCUAAUACCGCAUACGAUCUAAUCUCGGCAUCGAGGAUAGAUGAAAGGUGGCCUCCACAUGUAAGCUAUCACUGAAGGAGGGGAUUGCGUCUGAUUAGCUAGUUGGAGGGGUAACGGCCCACCAAGGCGAUGAUCAGUAGCCGGUCUGAGAGGAUGAACGGCCACAUUGGGACUGAGACACGGCCCAGACUCCUACGGGAGGCAGCAGUGGGGAAUCUUCCGCAAUGAACGAAAGUCUGACGGAGCAACGCCGCGUGAGUGAUGACGGCCUUCGGGUUGUAAAGCUCUGUUAAUCGGGACGAAAGGCCUUCUUGCGAAUAGUGAGAAGGAUUGACGGUACCGGAAUAGAAAGCCACGGCUAACUACGUG
rnacentral:rRNA from 1 species